AAAAAAUGGACUGAAAAGGGCGUCUGGCUAAUAAAUGAUUUAAUUGAUAAUGAUGGACAUUUAAUGAAUUGGCAGGAAUUUAAAAAAACAUAUGAUAUUGAUACCAACUUUCUUAUAUUUCAAGGAGUAAUGUCAGCUGUUUAUUCCUAUAUGAAAAGUCUUAAUAUUAAAAGUAAUCAGCUUAUCAAGCCUUAUGGGCCAAUUAUACCAACUACUAUUUCUAUUUUUAUGAAAUCUACAAAAGGAUCAAAAGACAUGUACAAUGUUUUAAAUGAAAAAAUAACAAAUAUCACAUCACAGGAAAAGUGGUCCUUAAUCUUAAAUAGACAUAAUAUUAUUUGGAAUAAAAUAUACAGACUUCCGUUUUACAUUACUAAAAACUCAAAAUUACAGUGGCUCCAAUACAGGAUUAAUCACAGAAUUUUGGGAACUAAUAAAUUACUCUACAAAAUUAAAGUCUCACAAAACAAUAAAUGCACUUUCUGUUCGGACUCAAUAGAAACUAUUGAACACAUAUUCUGGACAUGUCCAAAAGUUUUUGAUGUUUGGGAAGAACUUAAUAAAUGGAUAUAUUCAAAAGUCCAAAUUGAACUACCACUUAAUUUAGAUAUUGUCUUAUUUGGGAUAUUAGAAAAAACAGAAAAAAACUACAUAAGAAAUCUCAUAAUACUAUUAACUAAAUACUAUAUAUACAAAACAAAAAUGCAAUGUGGACAAGUAAAUAGUAUAGCCUUAAAAAAUUAUCUUAAAGAAAAUUUGUUUAUUGAAAAAAUAAUAUUUUAUAAAAAUAAACCACUGCAAAGAGCGUACACCUGCUGGAACCCCUGGCUCCAACUAAUAGAAUGAUUUUAUAAGUUAACUUUCACGUAAUAAAAAUAUCUACCCAAUCCAUGCUACCUCAGAUUAAGAUUUUCUAUUUUUUUUUCAAAUUAUUAUUAAUAAUAUUAUAUGUUUAUAGAAGGAUUCAAAAUAUCAACUUU
rnacentral:lncRNA from 1 species